rnacentral:ncRNA from 1 species
AUGUGGUUUAAUUUGAUGCAAAGUGAAGAACCUUACCAGGACUUGACAUGCUACGAAUCCUAUUAAAAGAGAUGGGUACCUUCGAGAACGCGGACAGAGAUGGUGCAUGGUUGUCGUCAGCUCGUGUCGUAAGGUGUCGGGUUAAGUCCUGCAACGAGCGCAACCCUCGUGUUUAGUUGCCACUGUUGAGUUUCGAACUCUAAGCAGAGUGUCGGUGAUAAGCUGGAGGAAUAAUGGUAUCUCCAAUUAUAGCCCCUCUAAGAUGUAAAAUAUAU